rnacentral:rRNA from 1 species
AUUGAACGCUGGCGGCAUGCCUUACACAUGCAAGUCGAACGGCAGCACGGGGGCAACCCUGGUGGCGAGUGGCGAACGGGUGAGUAAUGCAUCGGAACGUGUCCUCUUGUGGGGGAUAACCAGUCGAAAGAUUGGCUAAUACCGCAUGAGAUCGCAAGAUGAAAGCGGGGGACCGCAAGGCCUCGCGCGAGAGGAGCGGCCGAUGCCGGAUUAGCUAGUUGGUGGGGUAAAAGCCUACCAAGGCGACAAUCCGUAGCUGGUCUGAGAGGACGACCAGCCACACGGGGACUGAGACACGGCCCAGACUCCUAGGGGAGGCAGCAGUGGGGAAUUUUGGACAAUGGGCGCAAGCCUGAUCCAGCCAUGCCGCGUGUGUGAAGAAGGCCUUCGGGUUGUAAAGCACUUUCGGACGGAACGAAAUCGCGCGGACGAACAUUCCGCGUGGAUGACGGUACCGUAAGAAGAAGCACCGGCUAACUACGUGCCAGCAGCCGCCGCCGUAA